rnacentral:lncRNA from 1 species
UCGGUCAUUAGCAGGUUGCACGAGAGCUUUUCAGCCUCAGCCCUUGUAAUCAGAUUUGACUCCUUGAGCGCUGAGUUCUCCCUUGGAGCUUCUUAAGGGAGUCCUUCACGGCUUUCAAUAUAAUCAAGGGGAGAUCCUCCGCCAUCAUCUUCAGUUUAGCUGUGAAGGGCCCCAAGAUCUCUUCGAGGGAGGUUGGGAGGCUUGAGGUUGUUGCUGGUGGAGGUGCUGGAGGAGUUUGGUGCUGACUUUCACCACCACCCUCUUGAGUUUGAAGGGCAAG